UACGUAGGGUGCGAGCGUUGUCCGGAAUUAUUGGGCGUAAAGGGCUCGUAGGCGGUUUGUCGCGUCGGGAGUGAAAACCAGGUGCUUAACACCUGGCUUGCUUUCGAUACGGGCAGACUAGAGGUAUGCAGGGGAGAACGGAACUCCUGGUGUAGCGGUGAAAUGCGCAGAUAUCAGGAGGAACACCGGUGGCGAAGGCGGUUCUCUGGGCAUGACCUGACGCUGAGGAGCGAAAGUGUGGGGAGCGAACAGG
rnacentral:rRNA from 1 species